CCUGCCGUCUCAUCUCCAAGAAAGUUGUCGUACAUGUGUAAAUGACUGUGAUUUGACCUCCACAUACUCAGCCCGAGCUUCAUCUUGGACCUCCAGCGCCGCCGAUGCUGCCCCAAAGAGCCCCCUGAAUUACUUUCUCCUCGUCACCCCGAGCACAUCUAAGUUUGGUCUGUAGGGCAAAUUGAGGUAAUGAGCAUGGUCGCAGAUUGGAGCUGAGUUUCUUAGGUUGGUGGUGUGUGAGAGAUGGAAUUAUCAUGUGAUGGCGUCAGUGCGCGGCCGAGCGGAGGGAGAAGGUCCGCAGCUGGCCUGGCGUCAAUUCCAGCGGUGGAUCCGCGGAGGCGUAAACACGAGUGGUGUCGACCUGGGCACCGUCUCCUGCUAGAUCAGCGCCGUCCGCCGACCUCCGGGAAACCCCUGCGCGAGGCGGGCGUUUGCUAAUCUACUGCUGAUUUCUAGAGCUGCUGUAAUGCACUCACAGGUACCAAUACCAUUGUAUCUGCAUUACAUAUAUGUGGUUGCAGGAUUACAGCCUUCAAUUUUUGCCAUCUAACAUUAAUUCCAAUUCUUCCUCCAAUCGAUGGUGUGGAGAUGCUACUUAUAGUUGGGAGCCAGGAGUGGGCCGGCUCUAGGUGGUGGUGAUCAGAGGGGAGGAUGCAGGGCAGGGGUGCGCGGCGCCAGACCUAACGAUCUCGGUGUCGCUGCAGGUGCAGCAGUUCUUCCAUGAACAUGAAGCUGUCCAUCAAUGAAAUGGUUGGAGUCACUUGCCUCAAGAAGAACGACAGACACAACAGGGUUGGACAUAAAGCAAAGUGAGGAUGGAGCACAAGAGGUGCCUGGUUUGGUUGAAACUCUAAUUUAUACAACAUAUGGUAUGUGGGAGAAACUGAAAGCUGGCGGUCGAUUAGUACCUCAACACCAAGCUCGAGAUUCUUGGUGGAGUGGUUAUAGGUUUUAUCUUGGAAGUAAAAGACCAACGAGUAUGUUUUACUAAGAAAUAUAAUUACAAGUUAUACAAGUAAUGUUUGCGCUGUUUGCUUCGAUUUCAUAGCAGUUGUACCUUGAUAUAAGUAGUUGAAACUCCAUUUAUGGGUGAUGUCUGAAUGGAUCACAUCCAGAACGACAUACAUUUUGAUGCUAUAAUCGUUUUAAGGGUACUAACUAUAAUUCUUCAUCACAAAAAUGCAGGCACAUUAGUGUUGAUGGUACUAGAACUCUUCACUCAGGAUUGCAGUGAGUUGUU